GGGGUUGUUUAUGGAUUCGACAGGGUAGUUUAGAGCGACAUAAGCAUGCCAGCGUGGUGGCUGUCAAAACACCAGGUUAAAUAUAACCGGAAACCAACAAGUAGCAUACGCCGCUUAAUUAACUAAGCGUGCUCUCCGCCGUUCGCUGCACGGAGUGUUCGGUGUCGAGAACAGACAUCCGUGAUAUACUGUGAAUCUGCCGUCUUAAGAGCCACAGCGAACCCAAUAAGACUCGUCCGUCGUUAAGUUGUCCCUCUCUCGACUGCGGAUUAAAAAACUGGAGUGACUAAGCAUGUAGAAAGUGUUCGUACGGCUGUUCUGGACAGGGGUUCAAAUCCCCUCAACUCCACCA
rnacentral:tmRNA from 1 species